UAUAAAAUAGUAUUAUUUUGUGACAAUUUUAUUGUGAGUUGAAAACAGGGACGAAUCCAGAAAUUAAAAUUCAGGGAGGUUAAGAUUUAGAUUUGCUAGUAAAAAAAUUCGACUUAGGAUAGUAAAAAAAAAUAAAAUUUGUCAGAUUCACUGAUAACAAUAAUAUGCUUAAAGAGGAACAAGACUGUAAGAGUUGAAAGAAAAUGACCAAAAAACUUGAAAAAAAAUUAAGACAUAAAUUUUAUUAAAAUAAAAAAUUUGGC
rnacentral:lncRNA from 1 species